AAAGAUACUGGAGGCAGAGGAAGAAGAGCUGGCUGCAGAGAAGAAAAAAAAUCUGCAAAUACUGGGAAACCUCUUGAAUAUCAACCUAGAACAUUCUAAGCCAACUAAAACGGCCACAAAUGCUAAGAAAUUCAAAGAUAUUAAUGCCCUUCGCUAUGAUCCGACACGACAGGACCAUGCAGUUUUUGAAAGGAAGCCAAAUGCUACAGAAAAAGAGAGUAAAGCUAAAAGGAAGAAGAAGAGGGAAGAGAGUGAGAAGCUACCUGAAGUGUCUAAGGAAACGUACUAUGAUAUUUCUGUGGACUUAAAGGAGUUGUUUGGAUCUUCAAAGAGUGAAACAAAAAAAAGUGAAGAAAUACCCUGGGACAAAGAUGAUGC